rnacentral:rRNA from 1 species
UAGGGAAUCUUCCGCAAUGGGCGAAAGCCUGACGGAGCAACGCCGCGUGAGUGAUGAAGGUCUUCGGAUCGUAAAACUCUGUUAUUAGGGAAGAACAAAUGUGUAAGUAACUAUGCACGUCUUGACGGUACCUAAUCAGAAAGCCACGGCUAACUACGUGCUAGCAGCCGCGGUAAUACGUAGGUGGCAAGCGUUAUCCGGAAUUAUUGGGCGUAAAGCGCGCGUAGGCGGUUUUUUAAGUCUGAUGUGAAAGCCCACGGCUCAACCGUGGAGGGUCAUUGGAAACUGGAAAACUGGAGUGCAGAAGAGGAAAGUGGAAUUCCAUGUGUAGCGGUGAAAUGCGCAGAGAUAUGGAGGACCACCAGUGGCGAAGGCGACUUUCUGGUCUGUAACUGACGCUGAUGUGCGAAAGCGUGGGGAUCAAACAGG